AAACCUGGCGCGGGCGGGAAGGUUGAAUGUUUAGGUUUUCCACAUUCCGACUUUGUUACGUUCCCUUGUGACCGGAGUGCGGCAUUCUAGGGCCAGUGGAGCUUACAUAUGAGAAUGUAAUCAUCCUCUGUGUCUACUUGCCCUCCUUAAAGCCGAGCUCCUAGCGUGUGGGAACGGUGUCACCUCCUGCUGGGUAGUAGCAGUUCUGCAUCUAAAUUCAAAGGUUCUGAAAUCUUCCGUGAGAGCCUCCUUCUGACCCUGGUGGGUUUGCUGCCCAGGCGUCAGGCCCUCAGCCUUUGUCCCACCUGCUAGAUGCCUGCUCCUUGUCUCUGACCAGGUUUUCUGUUUCUGAGGCCCCACCAAAUGUAACUUCUUGGCAGGCUAUCUGUGGGGAACUGUUCUGUUCACCAUUGCCCCUUUGCUGUGACGUCCUACCAGGUACCCUGUAUGCCUCAUAUAUCAUCUCUUCUUUCCUGCCUUGUCUCAAUUCAUGUGUGCAGUGAUAAUACAAAUUGCCUUUCACCUAAUGCGUUUCAAAGUCAAGAACAGCAUUAAAAUUUUAACGAGCCUUUUUCCUGGAGCUGACUUUAAAAGUAGCAGAUGGUGAGAGAGAUUAAGACACUUGCUCAGUUGCAAAACUUGUGAAUGAUGGAGCCCCCAGUUUAUGUCAUCCCACCCUUUUGCACCUGUGAUCCUGUCUCUUGACUGUGGGGUCACUGUAAAGCUUCAGUGAGAUAAAGCUUAUCUGUCCAAAUGUGGCAAAGGCAUCCUGACCAUCUGAUUAUAACAAU